CAAUAAGCGGAGGAAAAGAAACCAACAGGGAUUGCCUCAGUAACGGCGAGUGAAGCGGCAACAGCUCAAAUUUGAAAUCUGGCUCUUUCAGGGUCCGAGUUGUAAUUUGUAGAAGAUGCUUCGGGUGUGGCUCCGGUCUAAGUUCCUUGGAACAGGACGUCAUAGAGGGUGAGAAUCCCGUAUGUGACCGGCUGCCUCCGCCCGUGUGAAGCUCUUUCGACGAGUCGAGUUGUUUGGGAAUGCAGCUCAAAAUGGGUGGUAAAUUUCAUCUAAAGCUAAAUAUUGGCCAGAGACCGAUAGCGCACAAGUAGAGUGAUCGAAAGAUGAAAAGCACUUUGGAAAGAGAGUUAAACAGUACGUGAAAUUGUUGAAAGGGAAGCGCUUGCAAUCAGACUUGCGCGCGGCUGAUCAUCCGGGGUUCUCCCCGGUGCACUCGGCCGCGCUCAGGCCAGCAUCGGUUUCGGUGGUUGGAUAAAGGCCUUGGGAAUGUGGCUCCUUUCGGGGAGUGUUAUAGCCCUCGGUGCAAUGCAGCCCACCGGGACCGAGG
rnacentral:rRNA from 1 species